rnacentral:RNase_P_RNA from 1 species
UGAGUGGACCGGGUGACCGCUCCGGCUCCACAGCCGGGGAGGAAAGUCCGAGCUCCACCGAGCAGGGUGCUGGGUAACACCCAGGAGGGGCGACCCUACGGAAAGUGCCACAGAAACAUACCGCCAGCGGCUGGCUUAGCCAGUGCGGGCAAGGGUGAAAUGGUGAGGUAAGAGCUCACCAGCAACCGGGAGACCAGUUGGCUGGGCAAACCCCACCCGGAGCAAGACCAAAUAAAGGGGCAAGACUGCCUCGGGUCCCUUGACUCGGGCAAGUCUAAGGUGCUCGGCCGAAGCCCUCGGGUUGGUCGCUUGACCCUGAUGGUAACAUCAGGGCUAGAUGAAUGGUCACCGCUCCCUAGCGGAGUACAGAACUCGGCUUACAGGUUCACUCACCCA